rnacentral:rRNA from 1 species
AUUGAACGCUGGCGGCAGGCCUAACACAUGCAAGUCGAACGAGUGGCGGACGGGUGAGUAAUGUCUGGGAAACUGCCCGAGGGAGGGGGAUAACUACUGGAAACGGUAGCUAAUACCGCAUACCAUCAGAGGUGCCCAGAUGGGAUGAGCUUGUUGGUGGGGGAACGGCUCACCAAGGCGACGAUCCCUAGCUGGUCUGAGAGGGUGAUCAGCCACACUGGGACUGAGACACGGCCCAGACUCCUACGGGAGGCAGCAGUAGGGAAUUUUCGGCAAUGGCGGCAAGUCUGACCCAGCAACCCCGCGUGUGUGAUGAAGGUUUUCGGAUCGUAAAGCUCUUUUGUUAGAGAAGCGGUAUCUGCCCAAAAAGCCACGGCUAACUACGUGCCAGCAGCCGCGGUAAUAC